rnacentral:lncRNA from 1 species
GUGAAGGCUGGCUCUGCUACAGAUGCAACAACUGAAUUCAGAUCAGUGGUUAUUUGAGGUUCCACUGUGACAACUGUCUCUAGGCUUUGCCUAAUGUCUGUUGGAGGCAAAAAUCAACUUGGACAGCCAUUGAUAUGAAGUAUCUCCUUAGUCCUCACAACACCUUACAAGGUGGAGACGGGGACUUCUGCUCCCACAGUGCAGAUGAGGAAAAUGGGACCUCAAAGAAAACAAACUUACCUCUGCCCUGGGGCCAGCAUGUGUCCAUGAUCUCAGAGUGAUAACCCCUUCCUCGAGCCUCCUUAGAAGCCCUUACCAGCAUCCGUCCCUCAAAGGCUGUGGCCAGGACCCCACGGGCUGUGGAUCAUGUACACCCGCAGUAAGGAGGUGGGCCCAGGCUUGGGCACUUCCUCCAUCUCUCGGGACCACGCUGGAGCUGGGCAGCGCAGGGAGCUGGGCUUGCAGCAAAACCGGAGACAGAGUUUGGAGGUGGCAGCUCCCGAGGGCCCCAAGAUGGAGAGGCAGGGGCAUGCUGACCAGGGAAGGUAAGUAUUUGCAAGCUGCCUUGGAAGCAGGAAGUCCUGUUCCCGAAUAUAAUCAGGCCCCAAGUACCUUCCUGGUCCUUGGAGUUUGAAAUCACAGA